GCGGAGCGCGGUGGUGCGCGCCUGUAGUCCCAGCUACUGGAGAGGCUGAGGCUGGAGGAUCGCUUGAGCCCAGGAGUUCUGGGCUGUAGUGCGCUAUGCCGAUCGGGUGUCCGCACUAAGUUCGGCAUCAAUAUGGUGACCUCCUGGGAGCGGGGGGCCACCAGGUUGCCUAAGGAGGGGUGAACCGACCCAGGUCGGAGACGGAGCGGGUCAAAGUUCCUGUGCUGAUCAGUAGUGAGAUCGCGCCUCUGAAUAGCCACUGCACUCCAGCCUGGGCAACAUAGCGAGACCCCGUCUCUA
rfam:Myotis brandtii contig267094, whole genome shotgun sequence.